rnacentral:rRNA from 1 species
UACGAAGGGUGCAAGCGUUAAUCGGAAUUACUGGGCGUAAAGAGCGCGCAGGCGGUCGUUCAAGUCGCGUGUGAAAGCCCCCGGCUCAACUGGGGAGGGUCACGCGAUACUGAUCGACUCGAAGGCAGGAGAGGGUAGUGGAAUUCCCGGUGUAGUGGUGAAAUGCGUAGGUAUCGGGAGGAACACCAGUGGCGAAGGCGACUACCUGGCCUGUUCUUGACGCUGAGGCGCGAAAGCUAGGGGAGCAAACGGG